ACAGCCACGAUCUUCCCCGGCCCACUAACCUGUUCUCGCGUUUUCUCUUAUCUGCUCUCGAAGUCGAACCCCCUUGGACGCUGGACGAGCUGAGACCCCAGCGAAGCAUCUCUGUCUCUCUCGCCGGAGGAGGAGGAGGAGGAGGAGCAGGAGGAGAAGCAGCAGCUUGCAGAUGUCGCAUUGUGGAAGAUCAGGCCCUCCGGACAUUCGACACUUACUAGCUUCUCAUCCUCAAUAUCUCCUUCCGUAGCUCUCUCCUUUCCCCUGCUCCGACUCCCUUCGCCUCCGUCGCUCUCUGUGUCAAUGCCUCACGCGGCUGUUUCGCGGGGACCACCGCCGACGACCUCUUCCCUCUCUUCGACAAGUACGGCAAGGUCGUCGACGUGUUCAUUCCCAGGGACCGGAGGACUGGGGAGUCGAGAGGGUUCGCGUUCGUGAGGUACAAGUACGCGGACGAGGCGCAGAAGGCGGUGGACAAGCUCCAUGGUGUCGCUCUUGUCUCUGAUUUUUAGUUCCUUCGGUGACGAGGGUUUCUGUUUGCGUUGUGCGGGAACGCUUGGAUUGGCGUUUGAUUUCUUGUUCGGUUUUCUUGUUGAAAGGGAGAGAGUCGUGAAUGGGAGAGAGAUUGGGGUUCAGUGCGCGAAGUACGGUCCCAAUGCCGAGAGAAUCAAAAAGGGGAAGAUUGCUGAACCGGUUUCAAAGAUGAGAAGGCGGUUGAGAAGUUGCAGUCCUCGUCCAAGGUA